rnacentral:rRNA from 1 species
GUGGGGAAUAUUGGACAAUGGGCGAAAGCCUGAUCCAGCAAUGCCGCGUGAGUGAUGAAGGCCCUAGGGUUGUAAAGCUCUUUUACCCGGGAUGAUAAUGACAGUACCGGGAGAAUAAGCUCCGGCUAACUCCGUGCCAGCAGCCGCGGUAAUACGGAGGGAGCUAGCGUUGUUCGGAAUUACUGGGCGUAAAGCGCGCGUAGGCGGUUUUCCAAGUCAGGGGUGAAAGCCCGGGGCUCAACCCCGGAAUAGCCCUUGAAACUGGAAGACUAGAAUCUUGGAGAGGUCAGUGGAAUUCCGAGUGUAGAGGUGAAAUUCGUAGAUAUUCGGAAGAACACCAGUGGCGAAGGCGACUGACUGGACAAGUAUUGACGCUGAGGUGCGAAAGCGUGGGGAGCAAACAGGAUUAGAUACCCGUGUAGUCC